UAGAGGGGUUUGCGGGUGGGAGAGUGAUUUCUGGGAAUGGAAAUCCCAUCCCGUGAUUUCCCUCCGUCAUCUCUGUUUUCCCCCAUCUCACCUCUUUCAGACUCUCUUUCUUCCAACUCUCCAUCUCUCUCAACCCUCCCCAUCUUCCCCUUCUCCGUAAAACCCAGAGGCUGAGAGGCCCGAGUCUACAUCCCAACUCGCCGUUCCGCCGCCGUCGACUGAGAGAACAUCAUCGAUCCGACUUUUGGAUCGAUUUCCUUGCCACCUCGUUCACAGUGUUGGGAGCGAUGGCUAUCCCACCGAUAGGCCGAUCUCUUCCAAGUCGGUGGAAGGUGAGAGAGAGAGAAAUGCCGAUCUUUUUCAGGAAUACUGAGGGUGGAAGUUCCUUGAACUGAUAAUCUGGCCUUUCCCAACUCAAGACAAGUUAUGUUGUUGUGCUGCGCCCGAGUCAUGGCAACCAUGUCACAGUCCGACUCCAGACGGACGGUUAUAUUCUUGGUGGUGGGAUAGUCACAUUCGACAGGAGAAUCUUACAGGUCUUGAUAUUUUUCCCUAAAAUUUAUCUGUUUAG
rnacentral:sRNA from 1 species